rnacentral:pre_miRNA from 1 species
CUAUGAGCGUGAUCGUGAUCGUGAUCGUGAUCGUGAUCGUGAUCGUGAUCGUGAUCGUGAUCGUGAUCGUGAUCGUGAUCGUGAUCGUGAUCGUGA